GCCAAAACUCUAGUUCGCGCCACCAGCCCUGUUGAGAGCGGAAAUAAAGCAUUUGAAACAGCUAGUAAAGGAGAUUGAAAACAAUAUAAGCACAAUAGAAACAGUACCGCAAGGGAAAGAAAUGAAGCAGCAAAAAGCAAAGAUAAAACCUUGUACCUUUCGCAUCAUGGUUUAGCAAGACAUACUGAGCGAGGCGCCCCACAGCUCAUAAACCCGAAACCAAGUGAGCUACCCCCCAACAGGAAACAAACCCGUCUCUGUGGCAAAAGAGUGGGAAGAUUGAGGGGUAGUAGUGAAAAGCCUACCGAACUUGGCGAUAGCUGGUUGCCUAAAACUGAACCUGAGUUCUACCUUGAGACAGUUCACUACCUUUCGAGAAAAUCAAGGAUAAUCAUUAGGGGUACAGCCCUAAUGAAAGGGGACACAACCCCCGCCUGAGAGUAAGCCCCAGAGUAUCUACCGUAGGCUUUAAAGCGGCCACCUGAAGAAACAGCGUCAAAGCGUCUUACCACUAAUACGCAACACACCCACCACCUCCAGCAAGAAUCAAGGCAACCCUACGCCCGUAGGAAAACCAAUGCUAAAACUACUAAUAAGGGCCCACCCCCUCUAAGCACCCCCAUCAGUUGCAACGGACCAACCACCAACAAUUAUCAAACCCACAAGCAAACUCACACCACAAACCUUUUACCAACUGUGACACCAACACCGGAGUGCCCAAAAGAAAGAUAAAAAGCUACAGAAGGAACUCGGCAAGCACUGGCUUCAACUGUUUACCAAAAACAUAACCUUUAGCACACCAAGUAUUAAAGGCAUCGCCUGCCCAGUGAGAAAUUUCUUUAACGGCCGCGGUACCCUAACCGUGCGAAGGUAGCAUAAUCACUUGUCUAUUAAUCAUAGACUAGCAUGAAAGGCUGCAUGAAAGCCAAACUGUCUCCUGUAGCCCAUCAAUGAAACUGAUCUUACAGUCAAAAAGCUGUAAUAAACCCAUAAGACGAGAAGACCCUGUGAAACUUUCAACAACCUUUCUUCCCAGAAAAAAGUACUUUUAGUUGGGGCAACUUUGGAAAAAGUCCAACUUCCAAACACCUAGAAUACCCACUAUUACACAGGCCAACACGCCUCGUUUUACGACCCAGUAUACCUGAUAAAUGAACCAAGCUACUCCAGGGAUAACAGCGCCAUCUUCUUCAAGAGCCCAUAUCAAAAAGAAGGUUUACGACCUCGAUGUUGGAUCAGGGCACCCCAGCGGCGCAGCCACUACUAAAGGUUCGUUUGUUCAACGAUUAACAGC
rnacentral:rRNA from 1 species